rnacentral:rRNA from 1 species
GACGAACGCUGGCGGCGUGCUUAACACAUGCAAGUCGAACGAAGAGCGAUGGAAGCUUGCUUCUAUCAAUCUUAGUGGCGAACGGGUGAGUAACGCGUAAUCAACCUGCCCUUCAGAGGGGGACAACAGUUGGAAACGACUGCUAAUACCGCAUACGAUCUAAUCUCGGCAUCGAGGAUAGAUGAAAGGUGGCCUCUACAAGUAAGCUAUCACUGAAGGAGGGGAUUGCGUCUGAUUAGCUAGUUGGAGGGGUAACGGCCCACCAAGGCGAUGAUCAGUAGCCGGUCUGAGAGGAUGAACGGCCACAUUGGGACUGAGACACGGCCCAGACUCCUACGGGAGGCAGCAGUGGGGAAUCUUCCGCAAUGGACGAAAGUCUGACGGAGCAACGCCGCGUGAGUGAUGACGGCCUUCGGGUUGUAAAGCUCUGUUAAUCGGGACGAAAGGCCUUCUUGCGAACAGUUAGAAGGAUUGACGGUACCGGAAUAGAAAGCCACGGCUAACUACGUG